CCAAAGCAGCACCCCAAGGCAAAGUUGAUUGUCCACCCAAACACCAGCGAGAGGCUGCCGUCACUAAGGAGUGGGCAGUGAGAUGGAAAUGUCACCAGGGAAAACCAGUUGUCUACAGGAGCUUGGUUCUCAGGUUGGGAAAGCAAAGACUGAGAAAUAUUCCUGGCUCCAGAGACAUAAGAAGGGCCCACAGCAAUCUGGUCAGAGUUGGCAGACUCUCAAGAGGAUGAACGUAUGAUCAUUUGAAACAAUUUUUUCUCAAGGCUCAGGGGAACCUGGCUCUGCUGAACCUCCUGGGCCUCGGAUAAAGACCUCUCCUGGAAGUUCCUGGCAGUUCCUAGAGUUUGGGGGAGGCUCGGCUGUCAGAUGACAGUGAAGCAGCACAUGCCAGAACAGCCAAUGGAGGACAGACUGCCAGUCCCUCCCUGAAUGGACAGAGUAGGGAACCAGGAAUCAGGCACUGAAAUGGCUGAAUAAUCUACUUCUAAUUCAGACUACUGGCCCCA